CUUAUACUCCCUUCGUCCCAAAAUUCUUGUCUUAUAUUUGUCUAAAUACGGAUGUAUAUAGUUACGUUUUAGUGUUAGAUAUAUUUGUUUAUAGACAAAUUUAAGAUAAGAAUUUUGGGACGGAGGAAGUAUUUG
rfam:Triticum aestivum genome assembly, contig: Triticum_aestivum_CS42_TGACv1_scaffold_375426_5AL